rnacentral:misc_RNA from 1 species
UAGAAUAAUAUCCUGGAUUGAUACUGGGUGUCUACUGCUGUGGAUACUGCCGACCUGCGCUUAAUUGCGCGGUUUGUGGUGCUACAUGCUGGUGGAUGCUGCUAACGGUGUCUUUCUACUUUACACACUGUGGAGAUUUCUUCUUUCAGUAUUUUUCUUUGGGCUUUCGAGCCCAGAGGUUAUAAACACAAACAACUUUGUAUUUUAUACUAGUCAUGAUCAGUUUUUUUGAAACUACAAACUUCA